GUUGGGAGCUCUCCCAUAUGGUCGACCUGCAGGCGGCCGCGAAUUCACUAGUGAUUAGAGUUUGAUCAUGGCUCAGAACGAACGCUGGCGGCAUGCCUAACACAUGCAAGUCGAACGAAGGCUUCGGCCUUAGUGGCGCACGGGUGCGUAACGCGUGGGAAUCUGCCCCUUGGUUCGGAAUAACAGUUAGAAAUGACUGCUAAUACCGGAUGACGACGUAAGUCCAAAGAUUUAUCGGCCAGGGAUGAGCCCGCGUAGGAUUAGGUAGUUGGUGGGGUAAAGGCCUACCAAGCCGACGAUCCUUAGCUGGUCUGAGAGGAUGAUCAGCCACACUGGGACUGAGACACGGCCCAGACUCCUACGGGAGGCAGCAGUGGGGAAUAUUGGACAAUGGGCGCAAGCCUGAUCCAGCAAUGCCGCGUGAGUGAUGAAGGCCUUAGGGUUGUAAAGCUCUUUUACCCGGGAUGAUAAUGACAGUACCGGGAGAAUAAGCUCGGCUAACUCCGUGCCAGCAGCCGCGGUAAUACGAAUCGAAUUCCCGCGGCCGCAUGGCGGCCGGGAGCAUGCGACGUCGGGCCCA
rnacentral:rRNA from 1 species